rnacentral:rRNA from 1 species
UACGUAGGGGGCAAGCGUUGUCCGGAAUCAUUGGGCGUAAAGCGCGUGUAGGCGGUCCGGUAAGUCGGCUGUGAAAGUCCAGGGCUCAACCCUGGGAUGCCGGUCGAUACUGCCGGACUAGAGUUCGGAAGAGGCGAGUGGAAUUCCCGGUGUAGCGGUGAAAUGCGCAGAUAUCGGGAGGAACACCUAUGGGCGAAGGCAGCUCGCUGGGACGUUACUGACGC